rnacentral:lncRNA from 1 species
AGAGUUUCUAUGAGCAUUGAUUUUGGACAAUUGGGAGUUGUUAUGACUUUGUAAGAUCUUUACAAAGUCAAGAUUGUUUUUGGAUGACUUGUGGUUUUGUGAAAUAAAAUAGGGUUGAUGUUUCUAGUGAUUUCAAGAGUUUUGUAAUAGAUAUAUAAGUAAAAUUUUGUGGGUUAUAGGUCAUAGUUAUGUUUAAUAUGUUUUGUAAAUAUUAGCUCCAUUUAAUGGUUGAUUUGAGGAUUAUUGAGGUUUAAAUAGGUCAAGGUCUUAGAAAGUAGAAUUUU